rnacentral:tRNA from 1 species
GGAGGGGUGGCCGAGUGGUCUAUGGCGACGGUCUUGAAAACCGUUGUAGCCUCUGGCUACCGUGGGUUCGAAUCCCACCCCCUCCG